GGAUCGGUAGCUCAGUUGGUAGAGCAGAAGACUCUUAAUCUUUUGGUCGAGGGUUCGAGUCCCUCCCGGUCCACCA
rnacentral:tRNA from 1 species